CCAUAAGAUAAGUCUUAUAAUUAUGGUUGAUAAUUAAUAAUUAUGGUUGAUAAUUAAGACAGCUAGCAGAAAAGAAAUCUUAGUCAUUGUCCAACAGCAUUGUAAAUAAGAUAAGAUUGUGUGUUAUUUUGAGUGCCCAUGUGGCAUCAUGGCUCAGGCCACUGGUGGAAAGAUUUAUCGUAACACUCUCAAGUGCUAGAGUUAUAAUUGUGAUGCACCAUGCCAAUUUUCAAAGGUAAUUUCUUAUUGAUCAUAGUUGGUAAAGUACCUGUGACUUACUGAAUGUGAAAAAUACUAUGUUUGUCGUUUUGAAUUAUCUUUAAGUGAUUUUGUAUGUAUUUAUAUGUCAUGAAUUUGAGCUUACUGAUAUUCUUAUAUUUUAUGAACAAAUUAUCUAGUAUUCUUCCAUGAUUUCCCUACUAAAAUAGUCCAACAAUUUCCUAAGAAAGCUUACCAGUGUUAGACCAAUGACUCUAGAACCUCUUAAGUUUAUGUUCUCUGGAUAAGAAAUUUUUCUUCUAGUUUUUACUGAGGCAGAGCCAAAUGUAGACUGAAGGAAAUAAACAGAGGAUUCUUUGCUAUGCAAAUGGCUGGAUAUCUUUUCUCUUCUUUGUUACAGUAUAUUUUGAAUAAAUUUUGUUUACAGUUUGGCUAUCCUGACAGCUAUAAGGCUACUCUGAAGGAAAGUAUUUGUAUAAUAUAGGGUGCCCUUUUUAAUGUACUAAUUACUUACAAAGAUUUUGCAAACUUAAACAUUGUAGCUCAUUAAUGGCUUAGUUGGGCAGUAUCUGACAGUGUGGCUGUUGGUCAAAUUGAUUUUAGAUAUAUGCAUGCAAUCAGGCCAUGAAAAAGAGGAAGGCAACAUUUUGUGAGAGACAAGGAGUGGAAUUGAUUGGACCUAUGGAGGAACUAUUUUCAAACCAGAGUGCCUUACAUACCUCAUAUAUUCCAUGUAAUCUUCCCCGUAUAUUUAUUUGUUGCAUUGAGGACUGAAGCCAAGGAUUUGAACAUGCUAGAUGAGAAUCUACCACUGAGCUGUGUUUUCAACCCAGAUCAACUGAUUUAACAUGAGGAUAUGAAACCAUGUGUGAACAGGUGAUAGUGGAACAUAAAAAGGAAAAGUGAAGUUUGGGAUAUGAUUCAUUUGUGAAGCCUUAAACUAGCAUGGAAAAAGGAUUGAUGGCUUCCAUCUCCAGCAGCAAAGAGAGAAGAGAAGAAAACCUUAGAAGGAUAACAUCAUUCUUUGCUUCCAAGAUUCUCUUCUGACCAGUGUCAUGAGGGAUACUAUAAUAUUGUAUCUGCCAGUAGCAGCCAUCUUUUCCUACUGUGUGACAACAGACUGCUGAGAAUGAAGGCAGCAGGAAGAAACAGCACAAAUCCAGAGACAUAGUAUCCAACCUGCUCCCAAACUACUACUGGGCACUGAACCCUCAUCCAUGCUCAGAAUAUAGUAAGUCCUCUGCCACUAAACUAUAUACAAUGGCCUCUUUUUAACUUGUUUUGAUACUGGAGCUUCCUUACACAACAAAGUUGACCUUGAACAUAAACUAUGACACAGACAGGCCUUGAAUUUGGGAUCUUACCACCUUAUACUCCCAAGUAGCUGUAUUACAGGUCCCUGCUUGAGUUUGGUUUCUAAAGUCAUGUUAAUAGGAAUUAGAUUCUUUGAAGAAAUGGAAGAUUUUAAAUAUGGUACAGAAAUAUGUGUAGACUAGGUCAUCUUGUAAUACUGGAAAAAAAAUAGAAGAUUUCAAAAUUCCCUGAGGCUCUAAGAAAGUAUCUGAGCAGCAAGUUUGAAUCACAUUAAACUAGUCAAGAACUGCCAAUAUUUAAGCAAAAGUUAAAUAUCAUUGAGAAUUAGAAUAUUUCAAGUGUGCUUACCUUCAAUAGGUUAUAAAAGCAUUCAAGGAAAAUAAAGCCCAUUGGUCUCUUUUAGAGGGUGCUAAGUAAAUAAAAUCCUAUUUGGAAAGUAGUAAAGACAUCAACUCAAGAGUGUCUCCUACUUAUUUUAUGAACUGAAGUUUAGAAUAAUAAAGGAGAUACUGAAAGGAAGAUUCUCUGGUAGUAAGCUAGAUUUCAGUAAGCUACAACAUAUAAGACCCCAAAUAUUUUGGGUUUUCAACUCAUUGUUUAUUCCAGGGAAAGAUAUAACCUCCCUGAAUGAUUAAUAUUAGCAUGUGUUGAAGCUCUAACAUUCCUCAGUUAGUGAGUUUGGAAAAGCCAGAAGCGUCACUACUUACAUAGUAAUCCUGGAUAAAUAAUCCACAACUGAUCUACUGAUCUAACUUGUCUCCAUGUAACAGUUAGGUUUUUUUGGAAAACAAAGACAAAGGUACACACAUACACACACACACACACACA